UAAGCACUAUGUCAGUCGUUUUUUCUUCUUCUAUGUUAUAGUCACGCUUUCCUUUGUGCUUCCAUUGUAUCACAAUGUGAACUUGACCUUUGUGUUGUGUCAAGGUUCCAAGAACUAAGUUCUAUACUGGAACCGGGAAGGACAUCCAAAACCGACAAGGCUAUUAUAUUGAGUGAUUGCAUCCGAAUGGUUAAUCAGUUGAGGGAGGAAGCUAGGAAACUGAAGGAUUCGCAUGAUAUUUUGCAAGAUAAGAUGAAUGAAUUGAAGGUGUGCUCGCUUAAAAUCUCUUCUGCCUCUUGUUUGGGAAUUAAAUUGGAUGACUGCAAUCUUUUCUAAAAGGAACAAUUGCAUGUGUAUCCUUUUAUAAUCUUGAAUCAUGCUGGAGUUAAUUUUGUAGGCCGAGAAGAAUGAACUCCGAGAUGAGAAGCAGAAGCUGAAGGCAGAGAAGGAGGUACUUGAACAGCAAGUGAAAGGUUUACACACUCAGCCAGGCUUCUUACCCCCUGCAGUAGUUUCUUCUCCAUUUGCAGGCGCUGGACAAUUUUUUGGUGGCAAGAUGGUGCCGUUUAUGGGUUAUCCCGGAGUUCCCAUGUGGCAAUUUACACCCCCUGCUGCAGUCGACACAACGCAUGAUCAUGUACUCCAUUCUCCAGUUGCUUAAGUUUAACCCCUACCAUGGACAUAAAAUUACCCAAAGACAGGAUGAACUAUCUUGCUCUGAAUCUCUUUUUUUUGCCUUUUACUUCUAUGUGUAGCUCCGUAAAAUGUCAUUGGCUAAUUGCUUUUGUAGACUUUGUAGCUAAAACUCAACUGCAAUCCUGUA
rnacentral:lncRNA from 1 species